AAAUAGAAUAUUAGCUUAGGUGUCUGAUUAUUUUCAGAUGAAAAGGGAAUACGGUGAGAAGCCGUAGCAGCCCCCGCUACUGUAUGGUGAACGAAUCUUAAAAACCACUGGUUUAAAACUGGGAAGGAAGAUGAGGUUGAAGCCGAGCCAGGAGACCUGCCUAAGCUUUGAUGUAUAA
rnacentral:ncRNA from 2 species